rnacentral:misc_RNA from 1 species
AAAGUCGUAACAAGGUUUCCGUAGGUGAACCUGCGGAAGGAUCAUUAGAAUAUUACGGGAAAUUAUUUAAUUUAUUUAUUUCCCUGAUGUCUUAUUCAAAAAAUUUUCAUAUCUUAUCUUAAUCUUUAAAAAAAAAUCAAUUAUAUAUUAAGACAACUUUCAACAACGGAUCUCUUGGCUCUU